UCUACUUUGACAGAAAAUGUGUUAAGCUUAGAACUUAAAGAUAUAAGUAUAAAAAUUUAUAAGUAGAU
rnacentral:tRNA from 1 species